ensembl:lncRNA
AACCUGCUGAGUUUCCUGCGUUUGUGCUGCGCUGCUGGCCUGUGCUGAGCCCCUUCUGCUCUGCCCUCCCCUCUGGAGCCGCUGGGUGGAUUCAUAACGACCCGAAUUCGGUGAUGCUGCCAUGUCACACCGCUAGCUGAGCUCUGCAGUGUGUCUCAGCCUCCUGCUGUGAGACCUGAGAAGGCAGCCAGUGUCACCUUAGCUGUUACAUCAGGAGAGGACAGCGCGGAGUACCAACCUCAGCUCCUGCUGUAAAACCAGUGUGGAAAAUCAGUGUUGGAGCCACCUCAGUAGUAUUGGCAACAGGUCACUCACAAGUGCUUCAGCAGCAUGCAGAGCUCUGAGAGGCUGUAGAACAUGAGCACAGAGACCAGAGCAAUGGAACAGGCUGGAAUACUAUUUUCCUUGGAUUUGCAAGGAAUAGACUUCUGCAGCUUUCAUAAAGAUAAGAGAUUCCUGGAAACAGACUUCUGCUGACUUUUGAUUAUUAUGAAACAGAGCAGUCCUGGAAAGAAACCGGGGUCUGAAAACACAUCAGGGCAAUGGGCAGCUCAAUAAAUACGCUGUUGUUAUCUGUCAUUGUAGCCUUCACAAGCUCACUACUUGAGCUGUUGUAUAGAUGGGAGGGGCUGCCAGACCUUUCCAGUGACAGCUUUCUGCAUUGUGAGAUGCUUUUACUUCUUGUAUCUUGAGGGUGUUCAGCUAAAGCAGGCUGGGAGUGACAUCAAGAUGGGCUCCUGCAUGGGUCUGUGAGGGGUCUGGAAGCAGUUUGUCUCAAGGAUUUUCCUCAUUUUGUUCUCUGCAAUGUACAGAAGAAUCAAGAAAAAACAAAAC